AGGAAAGGGCCCUGACAAGAGGAUGGGACUGCAGUUGUGGCUGCCAGGUUGGAGUGCAGUGGCACGAUCUCGGCUCAGUGCAACCUCCGCCUCCUGAGUUCAAGUGAUUCUCCUGCCUCAGCCUCCCUAGUAGCUGGGAUUACAGGUAGACCCAGUGUAAUCACAAGCAUCCUUGUAAGUGGCAAAGAGGCAGAGGAGACAGCGCCAGAGAGGCAGCUGCAUGAGAAGGAUCAAGAUGUUGCUGACUUUGAAGUUGGAAGAAGAAGGCCAUGAGCCUCAGUAUGUGGGCGGCUUCUAGAAGCUGGAAGGGGCAAGGAGAUGGAUUUGACCCUUCAGCCUCCAGGGGCAGCUGUACCUGCCAUCACUGAUUGUAGCCUGGUGAGGCCUGUUUUAGACUUCUGACCUGUAGAGCUGUAACAUAAUACAUUUGGGUUGUUUUCAACCACUAAGUUUGUGGUAAUUUGUUGUAGCAGCUGUAGAAAAUGAAUACAUAUGAAUCCUCUGGCAUUUGUUUGAGAUUUGCUCUAUGGCCUAGUAUGUGGUUGUAAAUGUUCCAUCUGUGCCUGAAAAAAUGUAUAUUUCUAAUUCAGUAGUCUCUGCUUUUUUUUUUUAUUUUGUACCCCAUCAAUAAAAUGAUUUUCAGCAUGUAUCCCCAAAUAAACAAUAUUUUAUUUAUUGAUUGAUUGAUAAACAGACAUGUUUAAUGAUAGCUUGCUUUUCACAGAGGUGACUUCGGAGACUUCUAAUCUAUAAUCCAGGAGUAUAUAACCAUGCAGCACAGACCAAUUAGUCACAUGUAAAAUAAACUAGAUUCUUACCAC
rnacentral:lncRNA from 1 species